CUCAUUCUCUUAACAGUGUCAGAAAUCACGCUUCCUACGUUCUGCCAUGCAAUGGGAAUGAGGCUGCUUUUCUGUUUCUGCUCUGCAAUUACAUGCACACAACAAACUUCUCCCAACAAGACAAGCUUUAAUCCAAUGACUCCCAAUCCUGACACGACGAAUGUUCCUUUGUCACAAUGUUCCUGUAAUCCCAAAAGCUUCAAUCCAAGAAGGUAUCAAUCUGAAGUUUUUGAAGUUGCAGUGCAGAGGAAUACUAUUGCAGUGCUGGAUACUGGUGCUGGAAAGACAAUGAUAGCAGUGAUGCUUAUUAGACACAUUGGCAAAUUUAUCAAAUCUACUGAUCAAAAGAAAUUGAUUGUUUUCUUGGCUCCCACUGUCCAUCUUGUUAAUCAGCAAUUCGAGGUUAUCAGGGACUGCACAGAUCUGGCAGUGGAAGAAUACUAUGGGGCCAAGGGAAUAGAUGACUGGAAUUCAAGUUGCUGGGAGAAGGAAAUUGAAGAACAUGAUGUAAUGGUCAUGACACCACAAAUUCUCUUGGAUGGCCUCAGAAAGGCAUUCUUCAAUAUGAAAAGAGUCAGCUUGCUGGUUAUUGAUGAAUGCCAUCGUGCAAGUGGGAACCAUCCUUAUGUUAAAAUAAUGAAGGAAUUUUAUCACACAUCUAGUAACAAGCCAAAGAUUUUUGGAAUGACAGCAUCACCAGUAGUUGGAAAGGUUAUUUCAUCCGCUAUGGACUGCAAUGGUCAGAUAUCUAGUCUUGAAAGCAUUUUAGAUUCUCAGAUUUAUGCUAUUAAAGAUAGGACAGAGUUGGAACUAUGUGUGCCUUCUGCUAUGGAAACUUGUAGGUUCUAUAAUGAAGCACAAUUUCUCAGCAAGGAUUUGAAAUUAAAGAUGGAAGGUUUAUGGUCUCAGUUCGAUGCUUCAUUGCUGAGACUGCAACAGUUAGUGGAAUGUCAAUACAAAGACAUUCGUCAUAAACUUGAGAAAAUGCAGAAGCGAUUAUUCAACGACUAUUCAAAGAUUUUGUAUUGUCUUGAUGAUCUUGGCCUUGUGUGUGCUUAUGAGGCUGCUAAAUUCUGUCUGGAGAACAGCUCAUUUCCCCAACAGGAAUGUGAAUUUAAUAGCGAAGGUUGUUCGCAGUAUGCACAUUUCUUUAAUGAAUUGCUACAACUUAUUGGAGCCUAUUUUACUACUGAUGAUACCAACUCUGGAGACUUCGGUCUUGACCUUUCAAAUGCAGUAGAAUUGGGAUAUAUGUCUCCAAAAUUAUAUGAACUAAUACAAAUCCUUAAAUCAUUUGGAGAAAGCAAGGAUGUUCUAUGCCUUGUAUUUGUUGAAAGAAUUGUUACAGCUAAAGUCAUUGACAGAUUUGUGAAGAAGGUUAAGUUCUUGUCCCAUUUUACAGUCUCAUAUUUGACUGGGAGCAAUACAUCGACUGAUUCGGUGGCACCAAAGGUGCAGAAAGAAAUCUUACAUCUGUUUUCCAGUGGAAAGGUCAAUAUACUAUUUGCCACUGAUGUUGUUGAGGAAGGAAUUCAUGUGCCAAAAUGCUCCUGUGUCAUACGUUUUGAUCUGCCCAAGACAGUUCGUAGUUAUGUCCAGUCAAGGGGGCGGGCUCGACAAAAUAAUUCUCUAUUUGUCAUGAUGGUUGAGAGAUUCUAGUGUCAGUCUCAUCCAUAGAUACUGUGAAACGCUGCCUCAUGAUAAGUACUAUUUUCCCAAGCCAAUAUUCCAUCUCUCAAAUUCUGGUGGGCAUUAUGAAUGUAAAUUAACUUUGCCUCCAGCUGCAGCUUUUCAAACAUUAAUUGGUCCUGUGAGUAGAAAUUCUCAUUUGUCAAAGCAGCUUGUAUGCUUGGAGGCAUGUAAGAAGUUGCAUCAGAUGGGUGCUCUUAAUGAUCAUCUUCUGCCCUUUUCAGAAGAGCCAUUAGAAAGUAAUAUGAGCUUGAAUUGGAAAAAGUCACCAUCCGGUGAAGGAACAACCAAAAGAAAGGAAUUACAUGGGACAGUCUGCAUUCAUGCAUUAUCUGGAACUUGGAGCCCAAGUCAAAACGGGGCCACUUUUCAUGCCUAUAAAUUCGAUUUCUGUUGUAACAUCCCUGAGGAGAUUUAUUCUGGAUUUGUUCUUCUGAUUGGAUCAAAAGUUGAUGAUGAUGUAGGAAAUACUGAGGCAGAUCUUUACUUGAUCUCAAAGACAGUUAAGUCUUGUGUUUCUUCAUGUGGGAAACUGUAUUUGGAUUCAGAACAGAUGAUGCAAGCUAAGUGCUUUCAGGAAUUUUUCUUUAAUGGUUUAUUUGGAAGACUCUUUGUUGGGUCAGAAGAAGCUGGAACAAAAAGAGAAUUUUUACUUCAGCAUCAAACAAGUGAGCUAUGGAGCCCAUUGAAAAUGUAUUUUCUUUUGCCACUCGAGGAAUUGAAUAGUAAAGAUGAAGCCUGGAGAGUAAACUGGAGAGGAGUGAGCUCUUGUGUGCCAGUGGUAAAGUUUUUGAAAGGAAAAUUCACAUUGAGUUCUGAGAAUUGUUACAAACAAAAGUUAUCAAAUUGGAGUGACUCAUCUGAUGUAGAACAGAAGACCUCAAGUACAGUCCACUGUGCUAAUUGUUUGCUUGACGUAAAUGAUAUCAAAGAUGUUGUGGUGUUGGCUAUUCACACUGGAAGGUUGUACUCUGUUGUUGAGGUUGUAACGGAUACCUCUGCAGAGUGUCCUUUCAGCUACAAUGGGGCCGAUGUGUCCGUAUCAUCAGAUUAUCGUACCUACAUUGAAUACUUCAACAAAAAGUUGGUAUUUUCUGACCCAAUAUUGUGGUUUAUAUAUAGCUCUCACAUAGUUUUGCUCUGCAUUUGCUAGUUCAGUUUGCUAGUAACAUGCUUGCAAUUCAGGUAUGGGAUUGUGCUGAUGUAUCCAGGACAGCCUUUGCUACGGUUAAAACAAAGUCAUAAACCACAUAAUCUUCUAGUAAAAUUCACUGGAGACGGUUUGUCAUAUUCAUAUUUUUUAAUAAUCUUCUAUUCUUCCCUAUAAAUAUUU